AAUAGAGUGGCCGAAUUUAAGGUGUUAGUCUCUUAAAUUAAUUAUGAGUAAUGU
rnacentral:tRNA from 1 species